UACAGAGGUCUCAAGCGUUGUUCGGAUUCAUUGGGCGUAAAGGGUGUGUAGGUGGCGCGCUAAGUCGGGUGUGAAAUUUCGGAGCUUAACUCCGAAACUGCAUUCGAUACUGGCGUGCUUGAGGACUGGAGAGGAGACUGGAAUUCCUGGUGUAGCAGUGAAAUGCGUAGAUAUCAGGAGGAACGCCAAUGGCGAAGGCAAGUCUCUGGACAGUUCCUGACGCUCAUGCACGAAGGCCAGGGGAGCAAACGGG
rnacentral:rRNA from 1 species